AGAGGAAGAGAAUCUCUUGGGCUUCAGCUGUUUCCUGUGUUCUAUAUCUCCAAGGUUUUCCUUCAACUGUUGGGUGAGAUAUGUUUGUAGAUCAUCACCUCUGGAAAAGUAGAUGAUUAUCACCUUUUCUGGAAGGACUAGACCUUGAUCUUAAAGAGUCUUUAUAUAUACAGUCAUAGAAAUGCAGAGAAGGACUUAUUUAGGUUGGCAAAGGCCUUCAGGAUCACCAAGUACAACCACCAACCUGAACUACUGAGUCCUGUCACUAGACCUUGUGCAGUGGGAGCUCUGAUGUCUGCCCUGUUUUAGACCCUGAAAAUAGUCAUCGGAAAACAGCAGGUUUUAGGAGACCACUCAGUCCAGUAAUGAUGUUUUGGCAUAAUAUGAUGAGUGGGGCCCUUACAGCAACAUUUUUGCAGUAUGUGUGUAAUGUGUUUUUUUCACAAUUUAAAAAUAACAGCAAAUACUGAUAAUCUGUACCUCAUUUUUUUAUCACUAAUUUAUUUUACAAGUAUGAUUGCUUAAGCAUACAUAUGCAUAUUCAAUAUAAACAGAGAUGGUUGAAUGCAUCUGCCAAUAUACAUAUAUAUUAAUUGUUGUAAUAAUGUGGUAAAUUAGUAAAAAUUCAAUUUAAAAGAAAGAAAUAUACAAAAAUAUUUAAAAUGCUUGUGCCAGAACAAAAUGACCUGCCAAAAAGCUUAGUCUCACAGCAAGUGAAAAGUAAAUUUCUUCUGAAAUUUGUGUUGUCACUGGAUCAAUAUUAAUGCUUGCUGACUAAAAAUUAUUUUUCCUAUCCUAAGUAAUGCCAUUACAACAAAAUUUUUGAUUGCAUUUGUAAAACAUUAAUAGUAAGUUGGUAAUUUUCUGUGCUUUUCUGAUCAUUUAUAAAAGAACAUAUGAUCAACCUUUGUACUGAACUAAUCAGAAAUUCAUAAUAUAAAUGAUUAGAUUUUAAUAAGUUCAUUCAACAAUCUAUUUCUGAAGUUUGUUACAGAUAAUCUGUUGCUAUAUUAAUGUAGCCUAGCAAUAAUUAACAUUCAGCUUUCUGGCACUAAUCACCGGAACCAUGGAUUCCUAGCAUUUAAGGCAGCCCUUGGAAAUAAUGCGAUAAAGCACUCAAGAGCGUUCAACCAAUUAAUGUGUUUGGAUGAGUGAGCUUUCCAAGCCAUUCAAUUUUAAAAGCAAGUGCCUCACAUCAUGGAAUUUUCUCCAUGUGGAAUUCCCCAGAAUUCUGUCCCACUAAAUGAUAGAGAAGAAAACUGUAAUCAGGAUGUGUUUAUCUGAGAGGAUAUUCUGCUGAUCACUCAAAGACAAUGGCUGCUGCUCCUAACAAACCAUCAAAAUGUCUCAGAGAAAGAGUAUAGCUCUUGCUGUGAGUCUUUCUUUCUACGUGUUGAUUACCAUUAAGAUGCCAACAAAUGUAAUGUGUAGAUACUAUCAUUAGACUGCAAGCCUUACUAAUCUUUGAGUGCUUUGUGAUGUGAAGGGACUUUCAAAACUUUAAUUAUAUAAUUAUAGUAUUACCUUUGUGUGAGAUGGAGAGGAAGAUGCUCAUGCUAUCUUGCUUUCCUUAUUUUAUUUUUUUUAAGAGGGUCAGAAUUUCCUGAAAUGUCACAUUCUUCCGAAAAAUUACUGUAAAAUAUUCAUGUUUCAUUGAAAAAAUAUCCAUGAGAUUUAGGGGUAAAAAUGAAAUGUGACAAGAUGCAAAGAGGAAAGAAAAUUGCUGUUGGUUUCAUGCAGUAAAUACAUGAAUGUGUUUUUUCAGUGUCAGUUAAAUUUGCUCAAUUUUUUCUAUGAAAAUCUAUUUUUUCAAAAUCUUGAUGCUAAGCACAACCUCCAAAUGAUAAUAUUUCUAUACUAAAGCAGAUUUUACCUCAUAUGACUGUCUCUACUGAUUUAUAAACUUGCUCUCUUUUAAACACUGACUGUAUUGAUAUAAAAUUAAGAAAAUAUUUUGCUAUGUAUUUAAAUUCUAGGAAGUGCAUAGUACUAAGCAGAAAGUCUAGAUUAAAAUGGUAUUUUUGAUUUUUUUAUAAGAUACUCAAAAUAAUUAAUCUAGAUUUAAAAUUUUCUUUUUUUUUCUAACAUAUUUGAAAAUCAUUAAUCUGCAC